UUUCCCCCCAAAUACAGAAUCUUCUAGCCUCUUUGUGCAUUCUUGUAGGAGGAUUCAUAAAGUUAUACAACAGUAAGAUAAGGCUGAAAUACGAUAGGCUGCGUUAAUUCACCCAAUCUUUUACCGUGAGAAGGUAAGUGCGGCGGGGUGCGCCUCAGCACGAGCUAAACGUUAACGUAGGGCCUGUGUGGCGCGCGUGUCACUACACCCUGUGACGUAGCGCUUGUGCAUGAAUAAUAGCUCGCGCCCCUUAUCCCCGGUGAGCACGCGUGUAAAAAAAAAAAAAAAAAAAAAAAAAAAAAAAGGAGGGGGGCGUCCGAACGGUUACCGGGCAGCGAUGGUAGCGAGGGAAGGAGCGCCUCCGAGGUCCGAGCAGGUCUCACAGGAUACCCAAACAUAUAAGUGCACACUGCAGAAACAGGGAGCCAGAAAAGAGCAUUCAGGAGGCUGAAAUGGAUUUAUUUUUAUGAUGCCAAGAAAUAAAACUGCACUUACUAAUAGAGAUCAUCAAAAAAGUGACCCCACGAUUACCCCAAAACUUGUUUAUACCAAUAAACCCGUUCCAGUAAUGUCUAAAGUUCAAAUGC
ensembl:lncRNA